UACGGGGGGGGCUAGCGUUGUUCGGAAUUACUGGGCGUAAAGCGCGCGUAGGCGGCUUUGCAAGUCAGAGGUGAAAGCCUGGAGCUCAACUCCAGAACUGCCUUUGAAACUGCAUCGCUAGAAUCAUGGAGAGGUUAGUGGAAUUCCGAGUGUAGAGGUGAAAUUCGUAGAUAUUCGGAAGAACACCAGUGGCGAAGGCGACUAACUGGACAUGUAUUGACGCUGAGGUGCGAAAGCGUGGGGAGCAAACAGG
rnacentral:rRNA from 1 species